GAUGAACGCUGGCGGCGUGCCUAAUACAUGCCAGUCGAGCGAACAGACGAGGAGCUUUCUCCUCUGACGUUAGCGGCGGACGGGUGAGUAACACGUGGAUAACCUACCUAUAAGACUGGGAUAACUUCGGGAAACCGGAGCUAAUACCGGAUAAUAUAUUGAACCGCAUGGUUCAAUAGUGAAAGACGGUUCUGCUGUCACUUAUAGAUGGAUCCGCGCCGCAUUAGCUAGUUGGUAAGGUAACGGCUUACCAAGGCAACGAUGCGUAGCCGACCUGAGAGGGUGAUCGGCCACACUGGAACUGAGACACGGUCCAGACUCCUACGGGAGGCAGCAGUAGGGAAUCUUCCGCAAUGGGCGAAAGCCUGACGGAGCAACGCCGCGUGAGUGAUGAAGGUCUUCGGAUCGUAAAACUCUGUUAUUAGGGAAGAACAAAUGUGUAAGUAACUAUGCACGUCUUGACGGUACCUAAUCAGAAAGCCACGGCUAACUACGUG
rnacentral:rRNA from 1 species